AGAGUUUGAUCCUGGCUCAGGACGAACGCUGGCGGCGUGCUUAACACAUGCAAGUCGAACGAGAGCGUAGAGAAAGCUUGCUUUUUCUACAAUCUAGUGGCAAACGGGUGAGUAACGCGUAAACAACCUGCCCUACGGAUGGGGACAACAGCUGGAAACGGCUGCUAAUACCGAAUACGUUCCGAAAGUCGCAUGACUAUCGGAAGAAAGGAUGGCCUCUAUUUAUAAGCUAUCGCCGGAGGAGGGGUUUGCGUCUGAUUAGCUAGUUGGAGGGGUAACGGCCCACCAAGGCGACGAUCAGUAGCCGGUCUGAGAGGAUGAACGGCCACAUUGGAACUGAGACACGGUCCAGACUCCUACGGGAGGCAGCAGUGGGGAAUCUUCCGCAAUGGGCGAAAGCCUGACGGAGCAACGCCGCGUGAGUGAAGAAGGAUUUCGGUUCGUAAAGCUCUGUUGUUAGGGAAGAAUGAUUGUGUAGUAACUAUACACAGUAGAGACGGUACCUAACCAGAAAGCCACGGCUAACUACGUGCCAGCAGCCGCGGUAAUACGUAGGUGGCAAGCGUUGUCCGGAAUUAUUGGGCGUAAAGGGCGCGCAGGCGGCUUCUUAAGUCUGUCUUAAAAGUGCGGGGCUUAACCCCGUGAUGGGAUGGAAACUGGGAAGCUCAGAGUAUCGGAGAGGAAAGCGGAAUUCCUAGUGUAGCGGUGAAAUGCGUAGAUAUUAGGAGGAACACCAGUGGCGAAAGCGGCUUUCUGGACGAAAACUGACGCUGAGGCGCGAAAGCCAGGGGAGCGAACGGGAUUAGAUACCCCGGUAGUCCUGGCCGUAAACGAUGGGUACUAGGUGUAGGAGGUAUCGACCCCUUCUGUGCCGGAGUUAACGCAAUAAGUACCCCGCCUGGGGAGUACGACCGCAAGGUUGAAACUCAAAGGAAUUGACGGGGGCCCGCACAAGCGGUGGA
rnacentral:rRNA from 1 species